AACGAACGCUGGCGGCAUGCCUAACACAUGCAAGUCGAACGAGACCUUCGGGUCUAGUGGCGCACGGGUGCGUAACGCGUGGGAACCUGCCCUUAGGUUCGGAAUAACUCCCCGAAAGGGGUGCUAAUACCGGAUAAUGUCUUCGGACCAAAGAUUUAUCGCCUUUGGAUGGGCCCGCGUUGGAUUAGCUAGUUGGUAGGGUAAAAGCCUACCAAGGCGACGAUCCAUAGCUGGUCUGAGAGGAUGAUCAGCCACACUGGGACUGAGACACGGCCCAGACUCCUACGGGAGGCAGCAGUGGGGGAUAUUGGACAGUGGGCGAAAGCCUGAUCCAGCAAUGCCGCGUGAGUGAUGAAGGCCUUGGGGUUGUAAAGCUCUUUUACCCGGGAUGAUAAUGACAGUACCGGGAGAAUAAGCUCCGGCUAACUCCGUG
rnacentral:rRNA from 1 species